UACGAGGGGGGCAAAUGUUGUUCGGAAUCACUGGGCGUAAAGGGUGCGUAGGCGGCGCGGUAAGUCGGGUGUGAAAUCUCGGAGCUUAACUCCGAAACUGCAUUCGAUACUGCCGUGCUUGAGGACUGGAGAGGAGACUGGAAUUUACGGUGUAGCGGUGAAAUGCGUAGAUAUCGUAAGGAAGACCAGUGGCGAAGGCGGGUCUCUGGACAGUUCCUGACGCUGAGGCACGAAGGCCAGGGGAGCAAACGGG
rnacentral:rRNA from 1 species